AUUGAACGCUGGCGGCAUGCCUUACACAUGCAAGUCGAACGGCAGCGGACCUUCGGGUGCCGGCGAGUGGCGAACGGGUGAGUAAUAUAUCGGAACGUACCUUUCAGUGGGGGAUAACGUAGCGAAAGUUACGCUAAUACCGCAUAUUCUGUGAGCAGGAAAGCAGGGGAUCGCAAGACCUUGCGCUGAUUGAGCGGCCGAUAUCAGAUUAGCUAGUUGGUGAGGUAAAGGCUCACCAAGGCGACGAUCUGUAGCGGGUCUGAGAGGAUGAUCCGCCAUACUGGAACUGAGACACGGUCCAGACUCCUACGGGAGGCAGCAGUGGGGAAUUUUGGACAAUGGGCGCAAGCCUGAUCCAGCCAUGCCGCGUGAGUGAAGAAGGCCUCGG
rnacentral:rRNA from 1 species